rnacentral:rRNA from 1 species
GACGAACGCUGGCGGCGUGCUUAACACAUGCAAGUCGAGCGGUAAGGCCCUUUCGGGGGUACACGAGCGGCGAACGGGUGAGUAACACGUGGGUGACCUGCCCUCAGCUCUGGGAUAAGCCUGGGAAACCGGGUCUAAUACUGGAUAUGACUCCAUGACGCAUGUUGUGGGGUGGAAAGCCUUGUGCGGCUGAGGAUGGGCCCGCGGCCUAUCAGCUUGUUGGUGGGGUGAUGGCCUACCAAGGCGACGACGGGUAGCCGGCCUGAGAGGGCGACCGGCCACACUGGGACUGAGACACGGCCCAGACUCCUACGGGAGGCAGCAGUGGGAAUCUUGCGCAAUGGGCGAAAGCCUGACGCAGCGACGCCGCGUGAGGGAUGACGGCCUCGGUGUAA